GAUGUAGCUCAGGGUAGAGCGCUUGCCUAGCAUAUAUGAGGCCCUGGGUUCAAUCCCCAGCACG
rnacentral:tRNA from 1 species